rnacentral:rRNA from 1 species
GCCUCUUGAAUAAGUAUAAGAGGUCCAGCCUGCCCAGUGACUCUGUUCAACGGCCGCGGUAUCCUAACCGUGCGAAGGUAGCGUAAUCACUUGUUCUUUAAAUAAGGACUAGUAUGAAUGGCACCACGAAGGUUAUACUGUCUCCUCUUUUUAAUCAGUGAAACUAAUCUCCCCGUGAAGAAGCGGGGAUAAAACUAUAAGACGAGAAGACCCUAUGGAGCUUUAAACCAUGUAGAACUUGCACCUAUCAAACACAAAUUCCAGAAAAAUAUACUUCACCCAUGCAAGAUUACUACCAGUUUUAGGUUGGGGUGACCGCGGAGCAAAAAUAAACCUCCACAUUGAAAGGAACCCACUCCUUAGCCAAGAGCCACACCUCUAUGCAACAUAACAAUGACAUUAAUUGACCCAAUAUUUUGAUCAACGAACCAAGUUACCCUAGGGAUAACAGCGCAAUCCACUUUAAGAGCUCCUAUCGACAAGUGGGUUUACGACCUCGAUGUUGGAUCAGGGUAUCCCGGUGGUGCAGCC